GACGAACGCUGGCGGCGUGCUUAACACAUGCAAGUCGAACGGUGAAGGGACUGGUUUUGCUGGUCCUGGAUGAGCGGCGAACGGGUGAGUAACACGUGAGUAACCUGCCCCCUUCUUCUGGAUAACCGCAUGAAAGUGUGGCUAAUACGGGAUAUUCUGGGUCUGUCGCAUGGUGGGCCUGGGAAAGAUUGCGCCUUUUUUGGUGUUUUUGGUGGGGGAUGGGCUCGCGGCCUAUCAGCUUGUUGGUGGGGGGAUGGCCUACCAAGGCGGUGACGGGUAGCCGGCCUGAGAGGGUGGACGGUCACACUGGGACUGAGACACGGCCCAGACUCCUACGGGAGGCAGCAGUGGGGAAUAUUGCACAAUGGGCGCAAGCCUGAUGCAGCGACGCCGCGUGAGGGAUGGAGGCCUUCGGGUUGUGAACCUCUUUCGCCAGUGAAGCAGGCCUGCCUCUUUUUGUGGGUGGGUUGACGGUAGCUGGAUAAGAAGCGCCGGCUAACUACGUG
rnacentral:rRNA from 1 species